GCCGUGGCACCUGCUUGUAGUCCCAGCUAAACAGGAGGCUGAGGUGGGAGGAUCGCUUGAGCCCAGGAGUUCUGGGCUGUAGUGCUGUAUGCCGAUCGGUGUCCGCACUAAGUUCGGCAUCAAUAUGGUGACCUCCUGGGAGCAGGGGACCACCAAGUUACCUAAGGAGGGGUGAACUGGCCCAGGUCGGAAACGGAGCAGGUCAAAACUCCCGUGCUGAUCAGUAGUGGGAGUGCGUCUGUGAAUAGCCACUGCACUCCAGCCUGGGCAACAUAGCAAGACCCCAUCUCUC
rnacentral:SRP_RNA from 1 species